GAAAAAAAAAAAAAAAAAGAAACCAGGGCUUUUUACAAAUGCCCCAUCACUAAGCUACAUUCCUAGCCAAUUUUGUUUUUUGUUUCCGAUGGGGUUGGCCACAUUGCCUUGAAUUUGUGAUCUUCCUGGUUUGAAAUUCUGAGUAGCUGGGAUUACUGACAUGGUAUACCUUUGUCCUUGGCAGUAUUUGUCCUUUGGAGUUUGGAUUCUGACACUUAUGUAAGUCAGUCUGGCUUUCAACUCUUGGAGAUAUGCCUGUCUCUGCCUCUGCCUCUAGAAUGUUGGGAUUAAAGAUCUCCUUAACACCUGUUUACCCAGGAAGGACAUUUGAACUGAGAUCCAACUAGAACUCAGUGGAUGUGGAAGAUAGAACAGGCAUGGAGUCCCUUGGGCCAGACACAGUUCUUAAUUUGGAAGGACUUGGGUCUUCUGGCUUCUGUGAUCCAGGGUGUGAGGCCAGCUGGGCUGGAGAGCAAGACACUCUUAGAUAAAUACACAGAGUAUUUUUUAAAUUCCUUUUAAGGGCUGGAGAGAUGGCUCAUCAGUUAAGAGCACUGACUGCUAUUCCAGUAAGUCGUGAGUUCAAUUCCCAGCAACCACAUGGUGGCUCAGAAUCAU